rnacentral:rRNA from 1 species
AUUGAACGCUGGCGGCAUGCUUUACACAUGCAAGUCGAACGGCAGCGGGGUAGUGCUUGCACUACUGCCGGCGAGUGGCGAACGGGUGAGUAAUAUAUCGGAACGUACCGAGUAAUGGGGGAUAACCAAUCGAAAGAUUGGCUAAUACCGCAUACUUCCUGAGGGAGAAAGCGGGGGAUCGCAAGACCUCGCGUUAUUCGAGCGGCCGAUAACUGAUUAGCUAGUUGGUGGGGUAAAGGCCUACCAAGGCGACGAUCAGUAGCGGGUCUGAGAGGACGAUCCGCCACACUGGGACUGAGACACGGCCCAGACUCCUACGGGAGGCAGCAGUGGGGAAUUUUGGACAAUGGGGGCAACCCUGAUCCAGCCAUGCCGCGUGUAUGAAGAAGGCCUUCGGGUUGUAAAGUACUUUUGUUAGGGAAGAAAAGGGAAGUGCUAAUACCACUUUUUGCUGACGGUACCUAAAGAAUAAGCACCGGCUAACUACGUG